rnacentral:lncRNA from 1 species
NNNNNNNNNNNNNNNNNNNNNNNNNNNNNNNNNNNNNNNNNNNNNNNNCGCCAAUGUUCCUGUGCCAGCGGUGCCCACCGCCAAUGUUCCUGUGCCAGCGGUGCCCACCGCCAAUAUUCCUGUGCCAGCGGUGCCCACCGUCAAUGUUCCUGUGCCAGCGAUGCCCACCGCCUAUGUUCCUGUGCCAGCGGUGCCCACCGUCCAUGCGCUGAUGCCAGCGGUGCCCACCGCUCAUGUUCCUGUGCCAGCGGUGCCCACCGCCAAUGUUCCUGUGUCAGCGGUGCCCACCGCCUAUGUUCCUGUGCCAGCGGUACCCACCGCCCAUGCGCCGAAGCCAGCGGUGCCCACCGUCCAUGCUCCGAUGCCAGCGGUGCCCACCGCUCCUGCUACGAUGCCAGCGGUGCCCGACACCAUCCAUGUUCCUGUGCCAGUGGGGCCCACCGCCCAUGUGCCGAUGCCAGCGGUGCCCACCGUCCAUGUCCCUGUGUCAGCGGUCCUACCACUCCAGCGCCGACGCCAGCCAUGCUCGUCGUCACGCCACCAGCCCCAGCUGCUCAAGUCGCCGCGCCGUCAGCUCCAGCUGCUCGAGAUGCCGCACCGCCAGUGCCUACUGUCCGAGUCGCCGCACCCCAGCUCCUGCUGCCCGAGUCGCCGUGCCGCCAGCUCCAGCUGCUCGAGUUGCCACUCCGCCAGCUCCUGCUGCCCGAGUUGCCAAACCCGCAGGUCCUGCUGCCCGAGACGCCGCACCGCCAGCUCCUGCUGCCCGAGAUGCCGCACCGCCACCAGCUCCUGCUGCCCGAGUUGCCGCGCCUCCAGCUCCAGCUGCCCAAGCCGUCGCGUCACCAGCGAGGUCCGUCACCACACCCACGCCAAUUCCUGCACCCAGGACUAAGUUUUGCCCCAAGCCCCGUGUGCCCAGGUCUGCCCCAAGGCCCCCUGACUCCAGCCCAAGAUCUUUGCCCAGGCUGGCUCCAUGGACUACCCCACAGACUUUAGCCAGUCCUGGGCAUCCCCAAGUUGUUCUUCUCCCCAUGUCGCUUCCUGUUCUGGUCCCCAUGUCUGUCUAUGUUCCGGUUCCUAUCCUGUCUGGUUUGUCUGUGCCUGUUCCUGUCACCGUCUUCGUGUCUGUUCCUUUCAGUGUUUUUGUUCCUGUUCCCAUGUCUAGUCCUGUCCAGUCACCUGUCAUGUCUCACGUCCAGUCAUCAUCCCCUGUCCAGUUUCCUGUCCAGUCUCCUGUCUCGCCCAAUGUCCAGUCUCCAGUUACGUCCCCGGUACAGUCUCCUUUCUUUGUCCAGUCUCCUGUCAAGUCUUCUGUCCAAUCUCCUGUUUUGCCUCGUGUCAAGUCCCCGGUUCCAUCUCCCCGCCGCCGGCCCCCGUUUUUAUGCGCCUCGGGAGCUGCGCGUUUAGGGAGGGGCUUCUGGUACGCCCUCGCUAUGUUUCCCUGUGUUUUCCCCGUUUCCUAGU